CCUCUUCUCAAGACCUUGGAACAAGACCCUGGUGAGGUCGAGGAGAUGAGGAGAGAGAGUUUUCCAUCUCCUGGACAAGUGGGUUUUCCUGGUUUUCCCUUUGCUCCUGGUCCAAGUCCAACUCACGAAGACUUUGGGAAAGUAACAGAGCCAAAGAAGAGGAGAAUGUCUCAGGUCAGGCGGGUGUGCAGCCACCUCCAGGACAGGCAGGCUCCAUCAGGCGUGAAGGUGACCUGGGAAGACAGUGCUCAGC